UACGUAGGGCGCAAGCGUUAUCCGGAAUUAUUGGGCGUAAAGAGCUCGUAGGCGGUUUGUCGCGUCUGCCGUGAAAGUCCGGGGCUCAACUCCGGAUCUGCGGUGGGUACGGGCAAGCUAGAGUUCGGUAGGGGAGACUGGAAUUCCUGGUGUAGCGGUGAAAUGCGCAGAUAUCAGGAGGAACACCGGUGGCGAAGGCGGGUCUCUGGGCCGGUACUGACGCUAAGGCGCGAAAGCGUGGGGAGCGAACAGG
rnacentral:rRNA from 1 species